UUACUUCGGGUGUGAAAAUAUGGGCUCAACCCCAGACNUCACUAGAUACGGGCUAGUAGAUUUGGUGGGGAGACUGGAAUUCCUGUUGUCGCGGGGGAAUGUGCAUAUUUCAGGAGGGACACCAAUGGCGAAGGCAGGUCUCUGCCCAAUACUUUUUUGAGGAGCGAAAGCGCGGGGAGCGAACAGGAUUAGAUACCGUGGUAGUCCGCGCCGUAAACGAUGGGCGCUAGGUGUGGGGACCUUCCACGGUCUCUGCGACGCAGCUAAAGCAAUAAGAGCCCCGCCUGGGGAGUACGAUCGCAAGAUUAAAACUCAAAGGAAUCGACGGGGCCCCGCACAAGCAGCGGAGCAUGAGGCUUAAUUGGACGCUACGCGAAGAACCUUACCAAGGCUUGACAUAUACCGAAAAGCAGCAGAGAUGUUGUGUCCGCAAGGGCGGUAUACAGGUGGUGCAUGGUUGUCGUCAGCUCGUGUCGUGAGAUGUUGGGUUAAGUCCCGCAACGAGCGCAACCCUCGUUCUGUGUUGCCAGCAUUAAGUUGGGGACUCACAGGAGACUGCCGUGGUCAACACGGAGGAAGGUGGGGAUGACGUCAAAUCAUCAUGCCCCUUAUGUCUUGGGCUGCACGCAUGCUACAAUGGCAGGUACAAAGGGCUGCAAUACCGUAAGGUGGACCGAAUCCCAAAAAGUCUGUCUCAGUUCGGAUUGAGGUCUGCAACUCGACCUCAUGAAGUCGGAGUUGCUAGUAAUCGUAGAUCAGCAACGCUACGGUGAAUACGUUCCCGGGGCUUGUACACACCGCCCGUCACGUCCCGAAAGUCGGUAACACCCAAAGUCAGUGAACCACCCCAAGGAGGGAGGUGCCUAA
rnacentral:rRNA from 1 species